rnacentral:lncRNA from 10 species
GGGGUCCUCUCUUUGCAGAAGCACUGAGACCACAGAGGCAAGAGCUGGGGAAGGAAAACUGCCCAUGAGAUGAGAUGUGCCUCUCAGCUUCCAAAAUCGGGGAGGUAAGAGGGAUUCUGGACAAAAUGAAACCCUGCACCCACAAGGAGUCCAGCAGACAGAUGUAGACACCAAGCAGACAUCCUCAUAAUCUAAAAGUAGGGUCCAGACAGCAAGUUUCUGGCCCAUCCCACACUCUGCUAAUGCUGACCUGGACCUAAAAUUAAGCCACUCAACCCUAUCUUGAGAUAACAGAGGGAGAAAAUGCUCCCUCCAUUUUACUUUCUAGGGUUGCAAAGGGAUGACACCAUCCACACCAGAACUGCAUGAAUGGCAUCAGGAAUGAUCAGAGACCAUAAAUUCCAGUGAGACCAAUAACACCAUUUCUGGUCCUGCAUGCUCUUCCAAACUUUGCCACUAACCCCUUCAAGAGGUUAGAAAAGGCAACAGAACUUCAUCCUAAUCUCUCUCAAGAUGCCCCCCAUGGAAUCCAGCCAUCAUGCUGUGAGGAAUCCAAGCAGCUACAUAGAAAGGCCACAACUAGAUAUUCCAGCUGUAGUCAGCUGAAGCUCCAGCCAACAGCCAACAUCAACCACCACACGUGAAAACGAGCAAGCCUUCAGAUGAUUCCGACUCCCAACCUCCAAGCCACCUCAGCUGAAGCCAAGUAGAGCAGAGACUAGCUGUCCCCCAAUGCUCUAAUAUGCA